rnacentral:SRP_RNA from 2 species
GCCAGGCGUGGUGGCGCAUGCCUGUAGUCCCAGCUACUCGGGAGGCUGAGGCAGGAGAAUUGCUUGAACCCAGGAGGUCGAGGUUGCAGUGAGCCGAGAUUGCGCCACUGCACUCCAGCCUGGGUAACAGAGCGAGAUUCCAUCUCAA